rnacentral:rRNA from 1 species
CAGGCCUAACACAUGCAAGUCGAGCGGACUUAUCCUUCGGGAUAGGUUAGCGGCGGACGGGUGAGUAACACGUAGGCAACCUGCCUGUAAGAUCGGGAUAACUACCGGAAACGGUAGCUAAGACCGGAUAGCUGGUUUCUCUGCAUGGGGGAAUCAUGAAACACGGGGCAACCUGUGGCUUACGGAUGGGCCUGCGGCGCAUUAGCUAGUUGGUGGGGUAACGGCCCACCAAGGCGACGAUGCGUAGCCGACCUGAGAGGGUGAUCGGCCACACUGGGACUGAGACACGGCCCAGACUCCUACGGGAGGCAGCAGUAGGGAAUCUUCCGCAAUGGGCGCAAGCCUGACGGAGCAACGCCGCGUGAGUGAUGAAGGUUUUCGGAUCGUAAAGCUCUGUUGCCAAGGAAGAACGCCUCGGAGAGUAACUGCUCUGAGGGUGACGGUACUUGAGAAGAAAGCCCCGGCUAACUACGUGCCAGCAGCCGCGGUAAUACGUAGGGGGCAAGCGUUGUCCGGAAUUAUUGGGCGUAAAGCGCGCGCAGGCGGUCUUUUAAGUUUGGUGUUUAAGCCCGGGGCUCAACCCCGGUUCGCACUGAAAACUGGGAGACUUGAGUGCAGGAGAGGAAAGCGGAAUUCCACGUGUAGCGGUGAAAUGCGUAGAGAUGUGGAGGAACACCAGUGGCGAAGGCGGCUUUCUGGACUGUAACUGACGCUGACGCGCGAAAGCGUGGGGAGCAAACAGGAUUAGAU